GACGAACGCUGGCGGCGUGCUUAACACAUGCAAGUCGAACGGAAAGGCCCUGCUUUUGUGGGGUGCUCGAGUGGCGAACGGGUGAGUAACACGUGAGUAACCUGCCCUUGACUUUGGGAUAACUUCAGGAAACUGGGGCUAAUACCGGAUAGGAGCUCCUGCUGCAUGGUGGGGGUUGGAAAGUUUCGGCGGUUGGGGAUGGACUCGCGGCUUAUCAGCUUGUUGGUGGGGUAGUGGCUUACCAAGGCUUUGACGGGUAGCCGGCCUGAGAGGGUGACCGGCCACAUUGGGACUGAGAGACGGCCCAGACUCCUACGGGGGGCAGGAGUGGGGAAUAUUGCACAAGGGGCGGAGGCCUGAUGCAGCAACGCCGGGUGGGGGAUGACGGCCUUCGGGUGGUAAACCGUUUUCCCCGGUGACGAAGGGGGGGUGAGGGAAAUGGGUAAAGAAACACCGGCUAACUACGU
rnacentral:rRNA from 1 species